AACGAACGCUGGCGGCAUGCCUAACACAUGCAAGUCGAACGAGACCUUCGGGUCUAGUGGCGCACGGUUGCGUAACGCGUGGGAACCUUCCCUUAGGGUCGGAAUAACUCCCCGAAAGGGGUGCCAAUACCGGAUAAUGUCUUCUGACCAAAGAUUUAUUGCCUUUGGAUGGGCCCGCGUUGGAUUAGCUAGUUGGUAGGGUAAAAGCCUCCCAAGGCGACGAUCCAUAGCUGGUCUGAGAGGAUGAUCAGCCACACUGGGACUGAGACACGGCCCAGACUCCUCCGGGAGGCAGGAGUGGGGAAUAUUGGACAAUGGGCGAAAGCCUGAUCCAGCACUGACGGGUGAGUGAUGAAGGCCUUAGGGUUGUAAAGCUCUUUUACCCGGGAUGAUAAUGACAGUACCGGGAGAAUAAGCCACGGCUAACUCCGUG
rnacentral:rRNA from 1 species